rnacentral:rRNA from 1 species
UACAGAGGGGGCAAGCGUUGUUCGGAAUUACUGGGCGUAAAGGGCGCGUAGGCGGCCUGCUAAGUCGAACGUGAAAUCCCUCGGCUUAACCGGGGAACUGCAUCUGAUACUGGAUGGCUUGAGUUCGGGAGAGGGAUGCGGAAUUCCAGGUGUAGCGGUGAAAUGCGUAGAUAUCUGGAGGAACACCGGUGGCGAAGGCGGCAUCCUGGACCGACACUGACGCUGAGGAGCGAAAGCCAGGGGAGCAAACGGG